rnacentral:rRNA from 1 species
AGGACGAACGCUGGCGGCGUGCUUAACACAUGCAAGUCGAGCGACAGCAUCUUUCGGGGUGUAUGGAGCGGCGAACGGGUGAGUAACACAUGGGCAACCUGCCCUCAGCUCUGGGAUAACUCCGGGAAACCGGGGCUAAUACCGGAUACGACCACUCCGGGCAUCUGGUGGUGGUGGAAAGUUUUUUCGGCUGAGGAUGGGCCCGCGGCCUAUCAGCUUGUUGGUGGGGUAAUGGCCUACCAAGGCGACGACGGGUA